GCCAGUGUGGCGUAGUAGUUUGAGUAUUGCACUAUGACUCUGGAAACCAGGGUUCAAUUCCCAGCUCAGCCA